GAACGUCAUGGUACUAAAAGUCCGGAGUGACGUGGCAAUGGAUUGUGGCGAACGCCACAAUCCCAUGUCGAACACCACAAGCCCAGAACUUGCAUUUUCAACGUUUUUCUUCUUUUCUUUCCUUUUUCUUCAUUUCUUCUUUUUUCUUUACUUCUUUCUCACCCGUGAGUCUUGCAUCAACAAGUACCUGAAACAGGACACCAACACCGACAUAAUACAAUAAAACAUACACAAAAUUAUACUAAAAGACAUGUGAAUCGAGUAAAAUAAACGGUAUAGUUUCAUGUUAUCUUAUAUUUUCAUUUAUUUAUUUAUUUGAAGAUA
rnacentral:lncRNA from 1 species